GGUAGUGUGGCCGAGUGGUCCAAGGUGCUGGAUUUAGACUCCCGUCUUGAAAGAGAUGUGGGUUUUAAUCUCACCACUACCA
rnacentral:tRNA from 1 species